GACAUUUAAUAAUGAUUCUAAUUUUAGGGAGACUUAUUUACAACUCCUUAAGCACUAAAAAUAAUAAUUGUUUUUAGGUCAUCAUGCUCUUUAUAGACUAUAAAGUGGUCUAAUCAUAUUCUAUUUUUUUUCCGGCAAAGAGAGAAAAUAUGGCUAAAACUUUAAAUUUUGUGUGUGCAAUGAUUUUAUUUAUUUCCUUGUUUCUUGUUUCAAAGAACGUUGCUUUAUAUAUUAUUGAAUGUAAAACUGAUGCUGAUUGUCCAAUAAGUAAGUUAAAUAUGUAUAACUGGAGAUGCAUUAAAAGUUCAUGUCAUCUGUAUAAAGUCAUUCAAUUUAUGGUAUGAGUACCAGGACCAAGAGAAUAAAUUUACACCACGCAAUGAAGAAUGAAUUCUUAAAAUAGAGAGAAAAAAACAAUUGUUGAAUAUGCUAUUUCGCAAUUGGCAUUUAGUUAUUAUACUCUCACCCAAUAAGUGUAUUUUUUAAUCAUUUUUAUUUUUCAUAAUUUCACAGACCUUGUAAUUAUUGUUUGUGCUUAAGAUGUUGGAAAUGAAAUAAAAUAAGACACUAAAGAAUAUUAUAAUUA